AAUAGAUACCCAGGUAGUCCACGCCGUAAACGAUGAGUGCUAAGUGUUAGAGGGUUUCCGCCCUUUAGUGCUGCAGCUAACGCAUUAAGCACUCCGCCCGGGGAGUACGGUCGCAAGACUGAAACUCAAAGGAAUUGACGGGGGCCCGCACAAGCGGUGGAGCAUGUGGUUUAAUUCGAAGCAACGCGAAGAACCUUACCAGGUCUUGACAUCCUCUGACAACUCUAGAGAUAGAGCGUUCCCCUUCGGGGGACAGAGUGACAGGUGGUGCAUGGUUGUCGUCAGCUCGUGUCGUGAGAUGUUGGGUUAAGUCCCGCAACGAGCGCAACCCUUGAUCUUAGUUGCCAGCAUUCAGUUGGGCACUCUAAGGUGACUGCCGGUGACAAACCGGAGGAAGGUGGGGAUGACGUCAAAUCAUCAUGCCCCUUAUGACCUGGGCUACACACGUGCUACAAUGGAUGGUACAAAGGGCUGCAAGACCGCGAGGUCAAGCCAAUCCCAUAAAACCAUUCUCAGUUCGGAUUGU
rnacentral:rRNA from 1 species